UUUUUCCCUCUUUUUCCCAAAGUCCCAAACAUCACCCCGCUUUCUCUCCCCCAAACUGGAAAUUUCUCAGCCCAGAAGCUCACCGUUCCCGCCGUUCUGAAGAAUUCAAUAACCGAAUCUUCUUCUCGCGGUCAGCUUACAGCUCGAACUGGAACCUUUGCAAAUUACAAUAGCGUCGUUUCUUCACUUCUCCUCCUCCUCUCCGUCUCCAAGCUCCAGCCUCCAAUUCUUCGGCGGCUCGCGGUUUGGACCUUGGUCAGUGUUCUAAAUUGCUGGGUUAUUCACUCCAGUCACUCUACCGAAAGAGUUCUUGGGUGGCUUGGGUUUGCUGAUUUUGUGCGUGUAUCUUGGGAGGUGGAUUGAGGAGGAUGCUUCCGUUCUUAUUUCUGGUGAUAUAAUCAGCAUUAAGCUUGGGGAUAUUAUUCCAGCAGAUGCUCGUCUCCUCGACGGUGAUCCACUGAAAAUUGGUCGGGUGAUUUAACAAUCACAUUUUCGCAAGAUUAUAUGAUUGAAUGGAGCUAUUUGGAUUUUAGUCUAAUUUUUUGCAUUUGGUCUUUGCAGUCUGCACUUACCCGUGACUCACUUCCUGUGACCAAAGGCCCUGGUUGCUUUUAGAACAAAUUGCUGGACAUUGUUAUGCAUUUCACUACUCAAUUUCACCUUCCUCUUUAUAUGCAGUGCAUUUUUUAGUCAUUAUUCUUCAUAUGAUAAGAUAAUGAAGUAUCAGACUUUGCUCUCUAUCUAAUUGUGACCCCUGGUCCUGCGUCUCAAUAGAAUAUGAUAGGGUCCAGUGUUAUAGUGCAAUUAGAGUUUUUCUUGUUUAUUUCUUUAGUUUCUGUUUUUGCAGUUUCCUGUCCUCUGUUUUCUUUUAAUUAAUUAGCAUAGAAAAUGAUCUCUAAAAUCCCUAAGAAUUUACAAGUAUCCAGUUUAGUGUGUUAGCUUAGUGUCUAUGAAAUUUCAUUGAAAUCGGAGUAGUUUAGGUUAGGUUUUCAUUUCUGUUUUGGUUUCUGGUCGGAGUUAGUUAAUCUGUUUUGUGUUCAUUAGUUUAGUUGUUUGAUUAAGUUUUAAAUGUACUUUUUGGAGUUUUCCAUGAAGCUUUAUAUAUGUGCUUUUCUGCUGAGUAUCUCAUGUCCAAAUGGUAAUGAUUAUCUGCAGAUUGGAGCAUUUUUUGUUUAUCGGCUUGAAUUCAGUGACCACCACAAAUUUCUGGCGAAGGAUAUUGAGAUGAUCAAAAGGAGGCUACGAGUACUGGAGGACAGGUUUAGUUCCAAGCCAGUUGUUAUAGUAACAGAAAAGGAUUAUGAUCGAGACCCCAAUAUUUUCAAGUACUUGGGUCCUUUUGAAGUUCUGGCACUCUGUUCUGAAUUGAAGAUCAUACCUAACAGAGGAUACACUGAAUAUAGCUUCAAAAAGUUGUUGACGGAGGUUUGCACAUGAAUUACAAGAUGUGAACUCAACUUAAGGGCGUCUGAGUCACAAGUACUGGCAAAACUAACAAGAAUGCAGGAAAACAUGAUUGGUCAUGUUCUCAUGGCAAAAAGAGCAAAGCAAAUGAAAGCAAGUGCAAAGCUCACAAAAUGAGAGUAAAAUGGUGCACUUGUGAUUGUUGUUUUAUUUCAAGUGUGGUUAUAAUAUUCAAUACCUGGAAAUGACAACAUAUUUAUUUUCAUUUUAGUGUUUGUAUUUGAAUAUGGUACGAUGACUCAAUGGAUAUGUUUAAUUAUAUUUUUUAUGAAUUAAUGUUGAUUUCCUAUUUGAUUUAAAA